CCUUGUACACACCGCCCGCCACACCAUGGGAGUGGGUUGUACCAGAAGUAGGUAGAAUAACCGCAAGGGGUUCGCUUACCACGGUAUGAUUCAUGACUGGGGUG
rnacentral:rRNA from 1 species